AGGGUUUGAUCAUGGCUCAGAACGAACGCUGGCGGCGUGCCUAACACAUGCAAGUCGAACGAGAAAGCGGGCUUCGGCCCGUCAGUAAAGUGGCAGACGGGUGAGUAACACGUGGGUAACCUACCCGGAGGUGGGGGAUAACUCCCGGAAACGGGGGCUAAUACCGCAUGAUAUCUCGAAGGUUCCGGCCCUCGAGAUCAAAGCUAGCCUCUACUUGUAAGCUAGCGCCACCGGAUGGGCUCGCGGCCCAUUAGCUUGUUGGUGAGGUAACGGCUCACCAAGGCUUCGAUGGGUAGCCGGCCUGAGAGGGCGAUCGGCCACACUGGAACUGAGACACGGUCCAGACUCCUACGGGAGGCAGCAGUGAGGAAUCUUGCGCAAUGGGGGAAACCCUGACGCAGCGACGCCGCGUGGAGGACGAAGGCCUUCGGGUCGUAAACUCCUGUCAAGGGGGACGAAAGCCGCAGGGAUGAAUAAGCCUUGCGUUUGACGGUACCUCUGGAGGAAGCCCCGGCUAACUCCGUGCCAGCAGCCGCGGUAAUACGGAGGGGGCCAGCGUUGUUCGGAAUUAUUGGGCGUAAAGGACGCGCAGGCGGCCAGGCAAGUCGGAGGUGAAAUCCCUCGGCUCAACCGAGGAACUGCCUCCGAUACUGCAUGGCUUGAGUCCCGGAGAGGGUAAGCGGAAUUCCCAGUGUAGCGGUGAAAUGCGUAGAUUUGGGAGGAACACCAGUGGCGAAGGCCGGCUACUGGAC
rnacentral:rRNA from 1 species